rnacentral:rRNA from 1 species
CUGGGCUGCACGCGCGCUACACUGAUGCACUCAACGAGUUCAUAACCUUGUCCGGAAGGUCUAGGUAAUCUUUUGAGUAUGCAUCGUGAUGGGGAUAGAUUAUUGCAAUUAUUAAUCUUCAACGAGGAAUGCCUAGUAGGCGCAAGUCAUCAGCUUGCGCCGAUUGCGUCCCUGUGCUUUGUACACACCGCCCGUCGCUGCAACCGAUCGGAGGGUCCUGUGAAUUCAUCGGACUGACCUGCUGGUUCUGCCUGCUGGUCGGGAAGUUGCGUAAAUAGAGCCCUCUAAAGGAUGCAAAAGUCGUAACACGGUUUCCGUAGGUGAACCUGCGGAAGGAUCAUUC